AGACUUAUUCUUCUAGCUGUGGAUAUCUCCAGUUCAGUCUCUGAUGUCAGACAAGAUGAUGGCCUUCACAGCAACAUAAAAGAGGAUUUGUCUGGGACUGGAAAUGAUGGAAUCACUUGAGAGAGACUGUUCAUGCAGGAUUUCUGGCUUCUUCAGAAGCAGGAACUACAAGAGAUCUCUCAAGUCAGUUCUUUAAAGAUUUCAAGCUACCUCUAGAAAACCCCAGUGGUUUGGAUGGUUCAGAUAAGCCCCUUUGCACCACUCAGGAGGCAUAAAGAGGCGUAAUGCAUCUACAUAAUCACCAGCAGAAUAUUCCUUGGGCAUAGGAACUCCCAGCUGGAGGCCCUGUACCACAGCUGGGCCCUGCACCUCUGCCCCUGUAACACCAGGAAGG